rnacentral:rRNA from 1 species
GAUGAACGCUAGCGGCAGGCUUAAUACAUGCAAGUCGAGGGGCAGCAGGACUGUAGCAAUACAGUUGCUGGCGACCGGCAAACGGGUGCGGAACACGUACGCAACCUACCCAAAACUGGGGGAUAGCCCGGGGAAACCCGGAUUAAUACCUCGUAACCUUUUUAAGUGGCAUCACUUGAUAAGUAUAGCUCCGGCGGUUUUGGAUGGGCGUGCGCCUGAUUAGGUAGUUGGUGCGGGUAACGGCCCACCAAGCCUGCGAUCAGUAACUGGUGUGAGAGCACGACCAGUCACACGGGCACUGAGACACGGGCCCGACUCCUACGGGAGGCAGCAGUAAGGAAUAGUGGUCAAUGGACGCAAGUCUGAACCAGCCAUGCCGCGUGAAGGAUGAAGGUCCUCUGGAUUGUAAACUUCUUUUAUGGGGGACGAAACCCGGAUAUUCUUAUCCGAUUGACGGUACCUCAGGAAUAAGCACCGGCUAACUCCGUG